CAGAGAGAUGGAGACAGAUAAACAGAGAGAUGGAGACAGAUGAACAGAGUUUAUCGGUCUCCAUCUCUCUGUUUAUCUGUCUCCAUCUCUCGGUA
rnacentral:pre_miRNA from 1 species